GCUGGGCAUGGUGGUGCACGCCUGUAAUCCCAGCACUCGGGAGGCUGAGGCAGAAUGAUCGCUGCGAAUUCGAGGCCAGCUUGGGCUACAAAGUGAGCUCAAGGCCAGGGUGAACUGCAGAGUGAGACUGUGUCUCAAAAAGACCAAAAAAACAGAGAUAGGGUCUCGCUCUGCAGUUCAGGUUGCCCUUGAGCUCACUUUGUAGCCCAAGGUGGCCUCAAAUUCGCAACGAUCCUCCUGCCUCA
rnacentral:SRP_RNA from 1 species